UACGGAGGGGGCUAGCGUUGUUCGGAAUUACUGGGCGUAAAGCGCACGUAGGCGGAUCAGAAAGUCAGAGGUGAAAUCCCGGGGCUCAACCUCGGAACUGCCUUUGAUACUGCGGAACUCGAGUUCGGGAGAGGAGAGUGGAAUUCCUAGUGUAGAGGUGAAAUUCGUAGAUAUUAGGAAGAACACCAGUGGCGAAGGCGGCUCUCUGGCCCAUAACUGACGCUGAGGUGCGAAAGCGUGGGGAGCAAACAGG
rnacentral:rRNA from 1 species